AUACGGAAGGCCCGGGCGUUAUCCGGAUUUAUUGGGUUUAAAGGGAGCGCAGGCGGAGAUGCAAGCGUGACGUCAAAUUUCGGGGCUCAACCCCGUCUCGCGUCGCGAACUGCGUCCCUUGGUUGCGGGAAGGGGAGGCGGAACUCGUGGUGUAGCGGUGAAAUGCAUAGAUAUCACGAAGAACUCCGAUCGCGAAGGCAGCCUUCCGGCCCGUCAACGACGCUCAUGCUCGAAGGUGCGGGUAUCAAACAGGAUUAGAUACCCUGGUAGUCCGCACAGUAAACGAUGGACACCCGCGGUUUGGCCUGUAUGGCUGAGCCGCCAAGCGAAAGCGUUAAGUGUCCCACCUGGGGAGUACGCCGGCAACGGUGAAACUUAAAGGAAUUGACGGGG
rnacentral:rRNA from 1 species